GCACUGAUCGUCUAGCGGGAAGAUCCCUCCGUCGUAACGAGGAGACGUCGGUUCGACUCCGACUCGGUGCU
rnacentral:tRNA from 1 species